AAAAGUUCGAGGCGUUUGUCCCUUGGCAAAUUCAGAAGAGAACCCAACGACUGAGGAUGAAAAGCCGUGGAUGUUAUUCGCUGUAUUUUGAAAAUCCUGCAGAAAUUCUUCAUUACCUGGCUAAUGAAGUUCCUCCCUUGAUCAGUAUGGAUAACCCGUGGACAUCCAAAUCUACUGAUAAACUGUUCAGCAAGAGCAUGAGCAACGGUUACUGUAUCUAUGGUUCUUAAUGGAAUCGCAUCAGAAUAUUUAGUCAAAUUAUCCUGCAAAAUUCAUGGUGCUCCUGAAUGAUUUGAAGACGACUCGAUUCCGGUGGAACUACAAUUUCUCCAGUGCACAAGGGUUGAAUCUGUCCGGAUCUAUCAAGAUACUAAACGUUUUCGUGUCCAAGGUGUCUAAAAGAGGUUUGAGUGAUUUUAACGAGGCUUCGACGUAAUCGAGAUUAAACUCAUUUUGAUGUUCAUUCUUAUAAAAUAAAAAGAAGACGGAAUGUUUAUCAUGCGGAAAAGCCAUGGCAUUGCCGAUUUCAAAUUGAUAUUGUUGUACUUCCCCUACCGAGAAUCCAAUUCGGUUUAACAAACCCACAGUGGUUUGAG